CAUCCUAUACUUCUCACAAGUAAGGAAUCAUUAUGCAAGCUCUGGAUCCACAAGUUACCUUCAAUUGGUCCAACUCUCAGUUAAUUGCACAAGAGGUUCCUGAAAUAUGCAUAAAUGGAAGGUCACUGGUCUAUAAGAUCAUCAUCUAGGCAUCUCCCAAGUUUUCACAAGCGUCAUCCAUCUUAUUUAGCAACACAACAAUUUGAAGUUGCUGUUUCCAACAUAAUUUAUUAGCCACAUCUGCAAAUAAGGGAUUUAACAUAUGAAAUACCUAGCUUGCACCUUUUAUAGAGCCAAAUCCACACAAUAGUAACCAGAAGGGAUGUACAACAAGAUCGAUUCCAAAGGCCUUCCCUACUUCACAUUGCUUGAAUCAUUUAUAAAUCACCUCACCACUACUAUACCGUUUGUAACAUCUAAAAAAGACUAUUUGGAAGGAGAUAUAAUCUGUAAAACCAAUUUCGCAAGUUCGAUUAGAUGAAGCAAAGUAACAGGCAUCUUGCAGAGUCAUAUAGAGAAAUGAUUAGCAAGAAAAAGCAGUUGUACUCUGCACAUGUAGAUCUCCGGAGAAAAUCGUGGUUUCAGACUAAAGGUAUAUACCUCAUAGAAGGACAGCAAAAUGGGAAUGUAUCUGGUGGAUGCUAAAACAGAUGUAGGAGGGAACUGUGGCAAUAUUAUUUCCUACUAAUCUGGAAAAAUGAGAUACUGUUUUUCCAAACACAAUUAUCAUAAGCUAGACAGAAAGCCCAACCCGACAAAAUCACCUAAGUUCCAAUUACACGGUCAAGUAAUCAACUUGGGAUCAAAUACGAAACAUAGAAUAUUAGGAAGAGGGUAAGUGAAAAACCAUUGUUGACUACAAAAUCCAAAAGACAACACCCCACCCCCAAAGAAUUCCUUUUCUUUUUCUCCUUCUCGACAGUCUCAAAGUUCAAGCUACUCAGCCAAGGAAAUGAAAAUUAUUUGUACAAUUUCAUGGUAAUAGGAAAAUGGAUAGAAAGAUCUUCGAACAAACUCAAAUAACUGAUGAGUUGGGUAACACAAAAGCACAAGCUCUUAAGUGAAAGAUUGCGAUGUUCACAUAAACCAAUUUUGAACCCAGGUAAUCAUAUUCAAUCUCCUGUUAUGCAUACAAAGAGAUCAAGAAUUUCACAUUUGGUACACAUAUCAGCAUGAGGACCAAACUUGAAAGGGGGAAAAAAGCAAUUAUUUCAAACAACAGAUAACAACGAUGUUUUGUCCCAUAAUUCAUAUUUCUCCCAUAGAGGUGGCAUCUGUAAGAACACCUAUGCAUUGAAAACUAGAUAUAGCAUUAAUAAGAAGAAUCUACAAUGAAAGAACAAUUAACGACACAUUUAGGUAACAACUUAUAUGCACCAACAAGAUUAUAUUGCAUUUGGCAUUUCUAAUUCUUUUGCCAAUACCUAUGUUCCAUCUAUUGAAAUUCCUCAAAAGUGUCCUUUGCAGAUAUUCACUGUCCCUAAAUCCUCCAAGUUGCAGUAAUUCUCUGGCAUAAUAAUGCAUGUAAGACAUCUUGCUGACCUGACCUGGCAGAAUACAUCAAAGGCAAAAAAGAGCAAGAAAUUACAAUUGAUCUUUCAAAAAGUGAGAACCUUCCAAUCCAAUGAGAAACAACAAUCAACCCGUCAAUUUAACACUCGUUACCAUGUGGAUAAUUAAAAUAGCGCUGGACCAACAAAAGCCACAGUUGACGACCAGCAAAUCACCCAAACUUGAUUCAACCUUAUCCAGUUGAAGUGCUCUAAGUAUUUAUGGAGACUGUAGCAAGAUGACAUGAAAUGAAGAACUAACCCAAAAACCAGGAGUCAUUUACAGUUGCAUAUCAUCAGUUUAGCAAGUAAUUUGGUCAUGUUGGAUUAAAGAAUGAUUCAAUUGCUAGAGCACAUGAAAACAAUACUAGGCUUGACAGCAUAUUAUUCCGACCUUUAACGCAUGACCUUCCAUUACA
rnacentral:lncRNA from 1 species